rnacentral:rRNA from 2 species
AAAAAAGGUAAGCUACUAAGAGCGAAUGGUGGAUGCCUUGACUGGUAAAGGCGAUGAAGGACGUACUAGACUGCGAUAAGCUACGGGGAGCUGUCAAGAAGCUUUGAUCCGUAGAUUUCCGAAUGGGGCAACCCAAUGUAUAGAGAUAUACAUUACCUAUAUAGGAGCGAACGAGGGGAAUUGAAACAUCUUAGUACCCUCAGGAAAAGAAAUCAAUAGAGAUUGCGUCAGUAGCGGCGAGCGAAAGCGCAAGAGGGCAAACCCAGUGCUUGCACUGGGGGUUGUAGGACUGCAAUGUGCAAGAGGUAAGUUUAGCAGAACAUUCUGGAAAGUAUAGCCAUAGAGGGUGAUAGUCCCGUAUGCGAAAAACAAACCUUAGCUAGCAGUAUCCUGAGUAGGGCGGGACACGAGAAAUCCUGUCUGAAGCUGGGUCGACCACGAUCCAACCCUAAAUACUAAUACCAGAUCGAUAGUGCACAAGUACCGUGAGGGAAAGGUGAAAAGAACUGAGGUGAUCAGAGUGAAAUAGAACCUGAAACCAUUUGCUUACAAUCAUUCAGAGCCCUAUGUAGCAAUACAGGGUGAUGGACUGCCUUUUGCAUAAUGAGCCUGCGAGUUGUGGUGUCUGGCAAGGUUAAGCAAACGCGAAGCCGUAGCGAAAGCGAGUCUGAAUAGGGCGCUUAGUCAGAUGCUGCAGACCCGAAACGAAGUGAUCUAUCCAUGAGCAAGUUGAAGCUAGUGUAAGAACUAGUGGAGGACUGAACCCAUAGGCGUUGAAAAGCCCCGGGAUGACUUGUGGAUAGGGGUGAAAGGCCAAUCAAACUUCGUGAUAGCUGGUUCUCUCCGAAAUAUAUUUAGGUAUAGCGUUGUGUCGUAAUAUAAGGGGGUAGAGCACUGAAUGGGCUAGGGCAUACACCAAUGUACCAAACCCUAUCAAACUCCGAAUACCUUAUAUGUAAUCACAGCAGUCAGGCGGCGAGUGAUAAAAUCCGUCGUCAAGAGGGAAACAACCCAGACUACCAGCUAAGGUCCCUAAAUCUUACUUAAGUGGAAAACGAUGUGAAGUUACUUAAACAACCAGGAGGUUGGCUUAGAAGCAGCCAUCCUUUAAAGAAAGCGUAAUAGCUCACUGGUCUAGUGAUUUUGCGCGGAAAAUAUAACGGGGCUAAAGUAAGUACCGAAGCUGUAGACUUGCGCACAACUUAGAUUAUUUAAGUUUAGAAUAUGAGAAACUAAGUUAUAUGUUUAGUUAUAUUUUUACUGAUUUUUAUAGAGUAAAGAUAGAAAUAAAACUUAGUAAAAUCAGUAAAAAUAUUCUUAGACUAAAGUUAAGUAGUUUAAGUUGUGUGCAAGUGGUAGGAGAGCGUUCUAUUUGCGUCGAAGGUAUACCGGUAAGGAGUGCUGGAGCGAAUAGAAGUGAGCAUGCAGGCAUGAGUAGCGAUAAUUAAUGUGAGAAUCAUUAACGCCGUAAACCCAAGGUUUCCUACGCGAUGCUCGUCAUCGUAGGGUUAGUCGGGUCCUAAGUCGAGUCCGAAAGGGGUAGACGAUGGCAAAUUGGUUAAUAUUCCAAUACCAACAUUAGUGUGCGAUGGAAGGACGCUUAGGGCUAAGGGGGCUAGCGGAUGGAAGUGCUAGUCUAAGGUCGUAGGAGGUUAUACAGGCAAAUCCGUAUAACAAUACUCCGAGAACUGAAAGGCUUUUUGAAGUCUUCGGAUGGAUAGAAGAACCCCUGAUGCCGUCGAGCCAAGAAAAGUUUCUAAGUUUAGCUAAUGUUGCCCGUACCGUAAACCGACACAGGUGGGUGGGAUGAGUAUUCUAAGGCGCGUGGAAGAACUCUCUUUAAGGAACUCUGCAAAAUAGCACCGUAUCUUCGGUAUAAGGUGUGGUUCGCUUCGUAUUAGGAUUUACUCCGAAAGCGAAGAAACUUACAACAAAGAGUCCCUCCCGACUGUUUACCAAAAACACAGCACUCUGCUAACUCGUAAGAGGAUGUAUAGGGUGUGACGCCUGCCCGGUGCUCGAAGGUUAAUUGAUGGGGUUAGCAUUAGCGAAGCUCUUGAUCGAAGCCCGAGUAAACGGCGGCCGUAACUAUAACGGUCCUAAGGUAGCGAAAUUCCUUGUCGGUUAAAUACCGACCUGCAUGAAUGGCGUAACGAGAUGGGAGCUGUCUCAAAGAGGGAUCCAGUGAAAUUGUAGUGGAGGUGAAAAUUCCUCCUACCCGCGGCAAGACGGAAAGACCCCGUGGACCUU